GGCCGCGGGAAUUCGAUUCAGGCCUAACACAUGCAAGUCGAACGGCAGCACGGACUUCGGUCUGGUGGCGAGUGGCGAACGGGUGAGUAAUAUAUCGGAACAUACCCAGUAGUGGGGGAUAACUAUCCGAAAGGAUAGCUAAUACCGCAUACGAUCUGUGGAUGAAAGCAGGGGAUCUUCGGACCUUGUGCUAUUGGAAUGGCCGAUAUCUGAUUAGCUAGUUGGUAGGGUAAAAGCCUACCAAGGCGACGAUCAGUAGCUGGUCUGAGAGGACGACCAGCCACACUGGAACUGAGACACGGUCCAGACUCCUACGGGAGGCAGCAGUGGGGAAUUUUGGACAAUGGGGGCAACCCUGAUCC
rnacentral:rRNA from 1 species